ACCAAUUCUUGGGGAUAAUCUGUUCCUCUAGUUGUAAUGGCACGGACGCAAUAACUAAUUGUGGCUAUCCUGAUCGGUGAGAUUUCAAUAUCACUAGAUCCCGGAAACACCUCGUAAAUUU